AAGAGCUCUCAAACAACACGCCGAUGAGGAAAAGUUAUGCUAAAAAUUGUUUUGUUCGGGUAUAAAAACUAUGACUUGGUCAACAAAAAACGAAUUGCCUUAUGAAAAGCAUGCGGUUCGUUCGAAGAUUACAGACAGAGACGCAACAAGUUCCAACUUCGUUCGACAUUUGAAGUUGCACAAAGAGGGGGAGAUGUGGCCAUUGCGCCUGCAGGAGCAAAUGUGACCGCCUCUGUCUAUUGUGCUGAGGACGAGCACCAUCGGAUAGGGGCGGGGCAUGGACUGAUGUAAGCAGCCGGGAGCAGGAGGGCAGAAAGGACACGGAUGUGACUGAAAUGUCACGUUCUGCGGGAGAAAGAGUUGGGUAAAAUCUAU